rnacentral:lncRNA from 1 species
GUCUGUUUUAUUGUUUUCCUUUGUGGCCAUGGCGUUGUCAGUUUAUUUUUGACCUAUGAGUUUGAAGGUCCCUCUGGUAUCUUUCUUCCCUCUUUUGAAUGAUCUGUUUUGUAUUGCAGCGGUUUAUUUGGCCAAUUAUUUUAAGUUAUCAUCAACUUUAUUGUUCCUAACCCGUCAACCUAGUGAUUGAGAGUUCAAGCUCUCGUAUGUACAUUAUCCUCAAAUAUCACGCAU